UUAUCAGAAGCACAAAGUGCAUGUAAUUGUUACUUACAAGGUCCUUCGGGUUGAUAAA
rnacentral:tRNA from 1 species